GAUGAACGCUGGCGGCGUGCCUAACACAUGCAAGUCGAACGGAGUUAUUAUUAUGAAGUUUUCGGAUGGAUUAAUAAUAACUUAGUGGCGGACGGGUGAGUAACGCGUGGGUAACCUGCCUCAUACAGGGGGAUAACAGUUGGAAACGGCUGCUAAAACCGCAUAACAUUGCACUGCCGUCUGACAGAGCAAUUAAAUAUUUAUAGGUAUGAGAUGGGCCCGCGUCUGAUUAGCUAGUUGGUAAGGUAACGGCUUAUCAAGGCGACGAUCAGUAGCCGGCUUGAGAGAGUGACCGGCCACAUUGGGACUGAGACACGGCCCAAACUCCUACGGGAGGCAGCAGUGGGGAAUAUUGCACAAUGGGGGAAACCCUGAUGCAGCGACGCCGCGUGAGUGAAGAAGUAUUUCGGUAUGUAAAGCUCUAUCAGCAGGGAAGAAAAUGACGGUACCUGACUAAGAAGCCCCGGCUAACUACGUGCCAGCCGCCGCUGUAA
rnacentral:rRNA from 1 species